UACUGGUAAAACUGAAAUGGAAGUCGUAAAGUCUUUCAAAGGGUAGGGCCCUCAUUUCCAUAAAUAUAUUGUGUUUCUGCUAAAAUAACCUUUUGUUAAAAUGUCUGCUGAUGCAGCAGGCAAGAGAAUAUCCCAAAGCAAAAUCUGGACACCCAGUGAUCAUUUUUCUCGCACGUAACCAGCCCCUGUACGCUAUCACUUUUCGUACAAUGCAGCAUGUCACGAUCAUUGAUGCAGAUAAACGUGGACAUUUGCAAUCCAUUAUACAGCAAACCUGAUUGUUGGAGUUGUUUGUCACCUUUGCAGAAAUCUGUGUUUCACUGUUUGGUUUUCAAUUGCUACAAGUGCAUUUUGGUUUGACUGUCUCUUUCUCCAGUGUAGGAAAUGUAUUUAACUUAGGCAGCAUUUGUUGUGGUUUUAACAGAAUAGAUCACAGGAAAUUACUGAAAAAUGACUUCAAAAAUUCUGUUUUUAAGACUCUGCUAUUUUGUCUGUGGAUUGUCCAGUUGUUCCAUUUUGAUUGUGACACUUUCUCUGAGUGUUUCAAUGUUGGGUUCUUCUGCACAUUGGAAGGGGGCUGGGUGGGAGCUGGAAUUUUAAGCAACAUUCAAAAUAGUCGUUUGAAGCUGAAUUGCCUCAGACCCUGUGUGAAAAGAAAACAUGUCAGGGUAACCAACUGUCAAAGAAACUGGUUUGACAGAAUCUGCAAGAUGACAAUCCACAUACAUCUCCACCUGCUCACAGCCAUGGGAAACUGUCUUCUGUGAGCUAAAUGCAGAGGGGACUUACAUGGGCACCUGUACCCAUGAUGCAGUUGAAGGCUGGUACAGCCAGUAUUGGAAACUGGCCUCUGUACCAGUGAGGCAUGUUGUACAGGACACUGGGCUUCUUUUAGUCUUGUCCAUAUUUGAUGUUUCCUUUCAUUUUCCUUUUGCCUGUUGUUUCUCCAUCCUCUCCUCUUUCAGCCUUGAAUUAAGGUAUGAAUUGGUGCAAAUGCCUUUUGAACAUUUCUAACAGCUUUCAGGACUUUUAUGACCAACCUUUAAAUGUGCUGGUCCUGUGGCUAGAUCCCUAAUGGUGCUUUCAUAUGAUAAUAUUUAGAACUUUCUUUCUCAAAGGAUCAUCACAAUGACGUUGCCUCACCUAAUGCUUCAUCGACUCGGUCUAUUCCAAUGAUUAUUGUUGGCACAUUUAUCAUUUUCGUUGUGAUUACAGUUUACUGCUACAAGCCAAUCAGAAUAAGCAGCAUAAGAAAUACCAAACCCGAAGCAAUAAACAACUCUUAACAAACCAUGGAUGAGAAGGAGAAAGGAAAAUAUUGAACCAACUCUUGCUGUCUCGAUUUGCCAACAACUUAAGAAUUUCAUUGUGAACGUUCCAAUAUGAUUAUCCGUCGUGCAAACCUUGCAACACCAGCCUAUAAUUCUUCACAUCCUUUGCUGUUAACCGAUAGCAAACUGCAGGCUGGAUGCAAGUAAUUAAAUGCUAUGGAUUCACAGCAAGUAGAGGAGAAAAUCCAUUAGGAUUUUGACACCUAAACACUGAAAAAAUCUGAAACAUUAAUCUUUAGGUUUAUUUCCCAAAUUGUUCAUUUACUCUUGAAAGCUAAUGUCAUGCAUUUUUCUUCCGAGUCUUAGAUUUUCUCAGGAGCUGGUGCUGAAUUUUACUCCCCUCCUGGAACAGACUUGAAUCUGUUCAUCCUUGCCCACUAUUACUACCUAUUUUGAAUUUUCGCGAUGAUGUGACAAAUGAAAUGUUGCCAAUGUUAAAGCUUUUUUAGUUUGAAAUUGUGGCCACAAUAAAAGGUUGUAGUUUCAAGUUUCAUUCUGGAAACUUGAGCACCUGGUCGAGGCUGGCACCUUAGUGAGGAGCUGAUAAAGUGCUGUAGUGGCAGAGGUACUGUCUUUCAGAUGAAGCAUUAAGUCAAGGGCCUAUCCUCCCUCUCAGAUGGAUGUAAAAAGUCCCACGGGUCUCUCCUGAAACAGAGCUGAGGAAGAUCCCACUAGUUUCCCGAUCUGUAUUUAUCCGCGGAGAAUGGAUAACUGGUAAGAAUCUGAUGUUGCUGAAUUUCCACUCCGUUGCUGGAACUGCAAACAGGUGGGAAUUCUGCCUGUCAAUGUUUCAGGUUGUUUCCAGCAUCACAAACCACGGGAGAUGGAGCAUUUUAAUAACAGAAGCAAGCGGCUUUUUUCAUUCUAACCAACACAUUUAGAGAUAUCAACCUGGUAUUACACACCUCUGCAGGUGUGACUUCAACCUGGGCCUCUCGCUCCUGGGGUAGUGACACUACCACUGUGCCACAAGAGGGCCCCUUAAGCCAUUCCCCCCCCAACAAACUCCACCUCUGAGCCAAGCAAUAAUCAAAUGAUAUGUGGUUCAGUCAAAGUGAAAAACUCAAGGCCAGGAGGGCAAGCUGAAAAAUAAAAAUCUUCCAAAGUGAAACGAGAGCCCGCACUGAGUGGAUUUAUACUUUUGUACUUGGGUAUCUGUAAGACCCAUUCCUGAAUCUACUCCUGCCUUGACAAAAGGGAGGGUCUGUUAACAUGAAGAGCGCUGCACUUGUGAGAAUUGCCAGCGAGCCUCUGACAUGGUUACAAACCUGCCACAGUGUACAGGAUAUGGCCCGAAGGUGUUAUCCUCUUCCCUCACUGACAGGAUUUCAGAUUAAACUUAACUCUGGAUAAACAAUCAUUCUAAAUUCCUCUCUCUUGCAGGUUAACCCAAUUUGUUCCCACCCAAUUGUUGUCUUUAUUGGCAGAAAUUUGUAGCUUAAUGCCAUUAUGAAUAAAGGUUUGUCAGUAUUUCAAGCUCAUGGAAAUGUCAAGUUAAUGAAGGUGGUAGGCUCUGAAAUAUGCUCACAGUUGUUUGCUUCCUUUGAAAAUUUAUAUUUUCUUUCUUCAACAGCAGGAUGAUAUGGCCUUCAGGAAAACCUGCAGGAGUUUCCUGGUUCUAAGUAAUUUGAAUAGAAUGAUCCUGGCUUUCCCCUCUCCAGUCCCAUUACUUUCUGUGGCCGGAAUACUUUAUAAACAGCUAAAGAAUUUCCAAAGUUUCUGCUCAUAAAGAGACACGAACAUAACCUUGCAACGAGAUGUGAUAUGUGUGUAUUACUGCAUCAUGAAUGCACUGAGCAAACCUAUAGAAUAUCUUCUUCCUGUUACAUGUUUGCCUCUGAAGCCAGUCUUCCUUUGUUAAAUUGUUUAUCACUGUCAAUGGAUUCUAAUCUCGCUUUAAUCACUGCUCAGCCUGGAGUGUGGGUGAAGAAAGAGGAGAAACUGAAUCAUUCCUCCAUCUUAAUGAUGCACUGCACCCACAUUGUUGGAAAAAUGGUGAGAAGUAGUUCUCAAUAUUGAUCCAGGAAGGCAGACUUCUUCCUGUUCACUGUCUCAGUGUUCUGCUUUCAGGAUGAAUGUCUCUACAGGUCAAACAGUAUUGUUGAAACCCAAAAAGCAAAACUGGUGUGAUUCUGAAAUUGAUAGCUGACAGGCCUCAUGGCUCUCCAUAAUGAGAUCAGGAUAAUGGAAAACAUGUCAUUCAUGGUGCAAACCACUGAAAAACAAAGCUAUCCCUUUCUGUCAAACCUUGCUGAGGUGUUUUACAAAGCGAGUAAUAAAGCACAUGGCUGGAAGGCAGGAAUGUAAAGUUGCGGUGCUCUAUCCUUCUUGUUCUCUAUCUUUAUUUAAGUUGAAUGUGAAGAUUUUGUUUUGCUGUGCUUACUUGGAUAUAGUAUACCAAUAUCUGAAUAGGGAAACAACUGAAUUAGCAAGAUUGAUGUCAGCAGCAGACCACAUACAAGACCAAGAUGGAAAUGGGAGAAAUUUCAUAUUCAAAAGACUUUUGGCGUUCUGUCAUGUGCCAUACAGGAUGGAAUUGACGAUGUUUCACCAUUCAAGUAUGCUGUGAUAUGCUAGUGUUUCCAGCAUUUCUGUUUUUAUUGGAGAUUGUUGGGUGCUGAUCUUGGUGCAUUAACAUUCCUGCAGCUUCAUUGUUUGACUUGUAGAAAUCUGCCGAUUCCCCGAGAGUACACUACACUGGCCUGUAACUGCGACUAUAAGGGUUAAUGCAGCCACUGUCUCUUCAAUACAUUUGAAUUAUUACAAUUGUUAUAAGGUCAAGAUUUAAGUGUUUGCUUAGCUCUUUGCAGUGAGUCAACUAGUAUAGUGUGUUUUACCAGCAGUCUGUAAACUAGUUUUAGUGAGUUUUAGUAAUUUCAGAGUUUUAUUUCAACAGGUUUUGAUGGUAUACACUAUAAUAUGUCAAAUAUCCGUGAGAAGCUUUUCUAUGUAGUAAAAAUAAUUUUGUCUUGAAAAAAGGAUAUCCAAGAAGAAUUGUCAUAACUUAUGAAAUCAUUAGCAAGAUUGUUUAAAGUUUAUUGGAGAAAUUAUGUUUUAUUUUCAUAUUUUAAUCAUCAGAAGACAUAUACUUUGGAAUUAAGUGUGAGAUUUGCUGGAUAUUUAGACUGUGUGAAAUAAUCUGAAUUCCUGAUGUAACACAAAAAUAUACAAAUUAUUCCUGAUUAUCGCAUGCUUGGUGAGAAUUUGCUUGGACAAUAUCCAAGGUACUACUGUGUUCAAUGCUUCAAUUGCCAAUAAUAAAGUAAAAUAGCUGUU